GAUGAACGCUGGCGGCGUGCCUAAUACAUGCAAGUCGAGCGAACAGACGAGGAGCUUGCUCCUCUGACGUUAGCGGCGGACGGGUGAGUAACACGUGGAUAACCUACCUAUAAGACUGGGAUAACUUCGGGAAACCGGAGCUAAUACCGGAUAAUAUAUUGAACCGCAUGGUUCAAUAGUGAAAGACGGUUUUGCUGUCACUUAUAGAUGGAUCCGCGCCGCAUUAGCUAGUUGGUAAGGUAACGGCUUACCAAGGCAACGAUGCGUAGCCGACCUGAGAGGGUGAUAGGCCACACUGGAACUGAGACACGGUCCAGACUCCUACGGGAGGCAGCAGUAGGGAAUCUUCCGCAAUGGGCGAAAGCCUGACGGAGCAACGCCGCGUGAGUGAUGAAGGUCUUCGGAUCGUAAAACUCUGUUAUUAGGGAAGAACAAAUGUGUAAGUAACUAUGCACGUCUUGACGGUACAUAAUCAGAAAGCCACGGCUAACUACGUG
rnacentral:rRNA from 1 species